UACGAAGGGGGCUAGCGUUGCUCGGAAUGACUGGGCGUAAAGGGCGCGUAGGCGGCUUGUACAGUCAGGUGUGAAAUUCCUGGGCUUAACCUGGGGGCUGCACUUGAUACGUAUAGGCUUGAGUAGGGAAGAGGGUCGUGGAAUUCCCAGUGUAGAGGUGAAAUUCGUAGAUAUUCGGAAGAACACCAGUGGCGAAGGCGACUCACUGGACACGUAUUGACGCUGAGGUGCGAAAGCGUGGGGAGCAAACAGG
rnacentral:rRNA from 1 species